GAGCUGUGAUGAUAAGUAUUGUGAUGUUCGGUAACAUUACUUCUCCUGAAAUACUGGAUGAAAAUAUGCCUCUGAGCUC